UACGGGGGGGGCAAGCGUUGUUCGGAAUUACUGGGCGUAAAGGGCUCGUAGGUGGCCAACUAAGUCAGACGUGAAAUCCCUCGGCUUAACCGGGGAACUGCGUCUGAUACUGGAUGGCUUGAGUUUGGGAGAGGGACGCGGAAUUCCAGGUGUAGCGGUGAAAUGCGUAGAUAUCUGGAGGAGCACCGGUGGCGAAGGCGGCGUCCUGGACCAAUACUGACACUGAUGAGCGAAAGCCAGGGGAGCAAACGGG
rnacentral:rRNA from 1 species